GACGGGGGCCCGCACAAGCGGAGGAACAUGUGGUUUAAUUCGAUGAUACGCGAGGAACCUUACCUGGGCUUAAAUGUAGAGUGCAUUUUUAGAGAUGGAAAUUCCCUUCGGGGCUUUCUGCAAGGUGCUGCAUGGUUGUCGUCAGCUCGUGCCGUGAGGUGUCGGGUUAAGUCCCAUAACGAGCGCAACCCUUAUCGUUAGUUGCCAGCUGGUAAAGCAGGGGACUCUAGCGAAACUGCCACCGUAAGGUGAGAGGAAGGUGGGAUGACGUCAAAUCAGCACGGCCCUUAUGUCCAGGGCUACACACGUGUUACAAUGGCCGGCACAGAGGGCAGCUACCUGGUGACAGGAUGCUAAUCUCGAAAACCGGUCUCAGUUCGGAUCGAAGUCUGCAACUCGACUUCGUGAAGCUGGAUUCGCUAGUAAUCGCGCAUCAGCCAUGGCGCGGUGAAUACGUUCCCGGGCCUU
rnacentral:rRNA from 1 species